GACGAACGCUGGCGGCGUGCUCAACACAUGCAAGUCGAACGAAGAGCGAUGGAAUCUUGCUUCUAUCAAUCUUAGUGGCGAACGGGUGAGUAACGCGUAAUCAACCUGCCCUUCAGAGGGGGACAACAGUUGGAAACGACUGCUAAUACCGCAUACGAUCUAAUCUCGGCAUCGAGGAUAGAUGAAAGGUGGCCUCUACAUGUAAGCUAUCACUGAAGGAGGGGAUUGCGUCUGAUUAGCUAGUUGGAGGGGUAACGGCCCACCAAGGCGAUGAUCAGUAGCCGGUCUGAGAGGAUGAACGGCCACAUUGGGACUGAGACACGGCCCAGACUCCUACGGGAGGCAGCAGUGGGGAAUCUUCCGCAAUGGACGAAAGUCUGACGAAGCAACGCCGCGUGAGUGAUGACGGCCUUCGGGUUGUAAAGCUCUGUUAAUCGGGACGAAAGGCCUUCUUGCGAAUAGUGAGAAGGAUUGACGGUACCGGAAUAGAAAGCCACGGCUAACUACGUG
rnacentral:rRNA from 1 species